UACGUAGGGGGCUAGCGUUGUCCGGAAUCAUUGGGCGUAAAGCGCGCGUAGGCGGCCAGAUAAGUCCGGUGUGAAAGUCACAGGCUCAACCUGUGAAUGCCGCUGGAAACUGUCUGGCUAGAGUCCGGAAGGGGCGAGUGGAAUUCCUGGUGUAGCGGUGAAAUGCGCAGAUAUCAGGAGGAACACCAACGGCGAAGGCAGCUCGCUGGGACGGUACUGACGCUGAGGCGCGAAAGCGUGGGGAGCGAACGGG
rnacentral:rRNA from 1 species